rnacentral:snoRNA from 1 species
GAAGAAGCAAAAUGAUGACAAACACUUGCUUGAGCCAAAGUGAGUGAGCUGUCUGUGUGUGUGUGCAGUUGUGUGGUGAUUGUUUGAGAGAGCUGUGUGCUUUAUAAUUGGGCAGUGAUAGCUAAACUGAUAAGAUCUGAUUGCUUC